CCUACGGGAGGCAGCAGUGAGGAAUAUUGGUCAAUGGACGGAAGUCUGAACCAGCCAUGCCGCGUGCAGGAAGACGGCUCUAUGAGUUGUAAACUUCUUUUGUACAAGGGUAAACCUGAAUACGUGUAUUCAUCUGAUAGUACUGUACGAAUAAGGAUCGGCUAACUCCGUGCCAGCAGCCGCGGUAAUACGGAGGAUCCAAGCGUUAUCCGGAUUUCUUGGGUUUAAAGGGUGCGUAGGGUGAUUGAUAAGUUAGAGGUGAAAUGUCCGAGCUUAACUCGGGAACUGACUCUAAUACUGUUGAUCUAGAGAGUAGAUGCGGUAGGCGGAAUGUAUGGUGUAGCGGUGAAAUGCUUAGAGAUCAUACAGAACACCGAUUGCGAAGGCAGCUUACCAAUCUGUAUCUGACGUUGAGGCACGAAAGCGUGGGGAGCAAACAGGAUUAGAUACCCUAGUAGUC
rnacentral:rRNA from 1 species